rnacentral:rRNA from 1 species
AAACUGAAGAGUUUGAUCCUGGCUCAGAUUGAACGCUGGCGGUAUGCUUAACACAUGCAAGUCGAACGGUAACGGGCCGCUGUGAUCCCUUCGGGGUGAACUUGGUGCCGACGAGUGGCGGACGGGUGAGUAAUACUUAGGAAUCUGCCCAGUAGUGGGGGACAACACGGGGAAACUCGUGCUAAUACCGCAUACACCCUAAGGGGAAAAGUGGAGGAUCUUCGGACUUCACGCUAUUG